rnacentral:lncRNA from 1 species
AAAGUGUCAAUGAGAGUCACACUUGGACAACAUGAUUACAUGAAUGGCAUAAUUGUCAAUUCAUAGAUGUGAAGUUCAAUAUACUGUACACAAAAAGGCAUAGUCGAUUCCUAUAUACAUAAACAUAAGUUACAGAAUUUUGAUGCCAAGCUGUUACCUUAAUUUCACCUUGACCAGCAGCUCAUUAUGGUGUAUUUGGGUAUGGAUUUGUGGAUUGAUUUCUUAUCAUGGCUUGUGUGCAACAUCUUCUCACAAUGCUUUGCUAACUUUGAUGGGUUCUCGAGGUUUCAAGGGGAAGAAAGACAAUACCC